rnacentral:rRNA from 1 species
AUUGAACGCUGGCGGCAUGCCUUACACAUGCAAGUCGAACGGCAGCACGGGAGCAAUCCUGGUGGCGAGUGGCGAACGGGUGAGUAAUAUAUCGGAACGUGCCCAGUCGUGGGGAUAACGUAGCGAAAGCUACGCUAAUACCGCAUACGAUCUAUGGAUGAAAGCGGGGGAUCGCAAGACCUCGCGCGAUUGGAGCGGCCGAUAUCAGAUUAGGUAGUUGGUGAGGUAAAAGGGCUCACCAAGCCGACGAUCUGUAGCUGGUCUGAGAGGACGACCAGCCACACUGGGACUGAGACACGGCCCAGACUCCUACGGAGGCAGCAG